GAUGAACGCUGACGGCGUGCCUAAUACAUGCAAGUCGAGCGAACGGACGAGAAGCUUGCUUCUCUGAUGUUAGCGGCGGACGAGUGAGUAACACGUGGAUAACCUACCUAUAAGACUGGGAUAACUUCGGGAAACCGGAGCUAAUACCGGAUAAUAUUUUGAACCGCAUGGUUCAAAAGUGAAAGACGGUCUUGCUGUCACUUAUAGAUGGAUCCGCGCUGCAUUAGCUAGUUGGUAAGGUAACGGCUUACCAAGGCAACGAUGCAUAGCCGACCUGAGAGGGUGAUCGGCCACACUGGAACUGAGACACGGUCCAGACUCCUACGGGAGGCAGCAGUAGGGAAUCUUCCGCAAAGGGCGAAAGCCUGACGGAGCAACGCCGCGUGAGUGAUGAAGGUCUUCGGAUCGUAAAACUCUGUUAUUAGGGAAGAACAUAUGUGUAAGUAACUGUGCACAUCUUGACGGUACCUAAUCAGAAAGCCACGGCUAACUACGUG
rnacentral:rRNA from 1 species